rnacentral:rRNA from 1 species
GAACGCUGGCGGCAGGCCUAACACAUGCAAGUCGAACGGUAACAGGAAGCAGCUUGCUGCUUUGCUGACGAGUGGCGGACGGGUGAGUAAUGUCUGGGAAACUGCCUGAUGGAGGGGGAUAACUACUGGAAACGGUGGCUAAUACCGCAUAACGUCGCAAGACCAAAGAGGGGGACCUUCGGGCCUCUUGCCAUCAGAUGUGCCCAGAUGGGAUUAGCUUGUUGGUGAGGUAACGGCUCACCAAGGCGACGAUCCCUAGCUGGUCUGAGAGGAUGACCAGCCACACUGGAACUGAGACACGGUCCAGACUCCUACGGGAGGCAGCAGUGGGGAAUAUUGCACAAUGGGCGCAAGCCUGAUGCAGCCAUGCCGCGUGUAUGAAGAAGGCCUUCGGGUUGUAAAGUACUUUCAGCGGGGAGGAAGGUGUUGUGGUUAAUAACCGCAGCAAUUGACGUUACCCGCAGAAGAAGCACCGGCUAACUCCGUGCCAGCAGCCGCGGUAAUACGGAGGGUGCAAGCGUUAAUCGGAAUUACUGGGCGUAAAGCGCACGCAGGCGGUCUGUCAAGUCGGAUGUGAAAUCCCCGGGCUCAACCUGGGAACUGCAUUCGAAACUGGCAGGCUUGAGUCUUGUAGAGGGGGGUAGAAUUCCAGGUGUAGCGGUGAAAUGCGUAGAGAUCUGGAGGAAUACCGGUGGCGAAGGCGGCCCCCUGGACAAAGACUGACGCUCAGGUGCGAAAGCGUGGGGAGCAAACAGGAUUAGAUACCCUGGUAGUCCACGCCGUAAACGAUGUCUACUUGGAGGUUGUGCCCUUGAGGCGUGGCUUCCGGAGCUAACGCGUUAAGUAGACCGCCUGGGGAGUACGGCCGCAAGGUUAAAACUCAAAUGAAUUGACGGGGGCCCGCACAAGCGGUGGAGCAUGUGGUUUAAUUCGAUGCAACGCGAAGAACCUUACCUGGUCUUGACAUCCACAGAACUUUCCAGAGAUGGAUUGGUGCCUUCGGGAACUGUGAGACAGGUGCUGCAUGGCUGUCGUCAGCUCGUGUUGUGAAAUGUUGGGUUAAGUCCCGCAACGAGCGCAACCCUUAUCCUUUGUUGCCAGCGGUCCGGCCGGGAACUCAAAGGAGACUGCCAGUGAUAAACUGGAGGAAGGUGGGGAUGACGUCAAGUCAUCAUGGCCCUUACGACCAGGGCUACACACGUGCUACAAUGGCGCAUACAAAGAGAAGCGACCUCGCGAGAGCAAGCGGACCUCAUAAAGUGCGUCGUAGUCCGGAUUGGAGUCUGCAACUCGACUCCAUGAAGUCGGAAUCGCUAGUAAUCGUGGAUCAGAAUGCCACGGUGAAUACGUUCCCGGGCCUUGUACACACCGCCCGUCACACCAUGGGAGUGGGUUGCAAAAGAAGUAGGUAGCUUAACCUUCGGGAGGGCGCUUACCACUUUGUGAUUCAUGACUGGGGUGAAGUCGUAACAAGGUAACCGUAGGGGAACCUGCGGUUGGAUCACCUCCUUACCUUAAAGAAGC